rnacentral:rRNA from 1 species
UGUUUCGGCUAGGGGGUCAUCCCGACUUACCAACCCGAUGCAAACUACGAAUACCGAAGAAUGUUAUCACGGGAGACACACGGCGGGUGCUAACGUCCGUCGUGAAGAGGGAAACAACCCAGACCGCCAGCUAAGGUCCCAAAGUCAUGGUUAAGUGGGAAACGAUGUGGGAAGGCACAGACAGCCAGGAUGUUGGCUUAGAAGCAGCCAUCAUUUAAAGAAAGCGUAAUAGCUCACUGGUCGAGUCGGCCUGCGCGGAAGAUGUAACGGGGCUAAACCAUGCACCGAAGCUGCGGCAGCGACACUAUGUGUUGUUGGGUAGGGGAGCGUUCUGUAAGCCUGCGAAGGUGUGCUGUGAGGCAUGCUGGAGGUAUCAGAAGUGCGAAUGCUGACAUAAGUAACGAUAAAGCGGGUGAAAAGCCCGCUCGCCGGAAGACCAAGGGUUCCUGUCCAACGUUAAUCGGGGCAGGGUGAGUCGACCCCUAAGACGAGGCCGAAAGGCGUAGUCGAUGGGAAACAGGUUAAUAUUCC